UACGAAGGGGGCUAGCGUUGUUCGGAAUCACUGGGCGUAAAGCGCAUGCAGGCGGAUCGUUAAGUCGGGGGUGAAAUCCCGAGGCUCAACCUCGGAACUGCCUUCGAUACUGGCGAUCUUGAGUCCGGGAGAGGUGAGUGGAACUGCGAGUGUAGAGGUGAAAUUCGUAGAUAUUCGCAAGAACACCAGUGGCGAAGGCGGCUCACUGGCCCGGUACUGACGCUCAGGUGCGAAAGCGUGGGGAGCAAACAGG
rnacentral:rRNA from 1 species